rnacentral:tRNA from 1 species
GGGGGUAUAGCUCAGUGGUAGAGCACCCGCAUACGUAUCGGAAGGUCGGGGGUUCGACUCCCUCUGCUUCCA